GUUGGGCCUGCUCGGUGAGAAGAAAAAUUUAACAGCUGCGGUAUUAUAACUGUACUAAGGUAGCAUAAUAAUUUGCCUUAUAAAUUAAGGCUAGAAUGAAUGGUUUGACGAAAAUUAGACUGUCUUUAUUUUAUUUGUUAGAAAUUAAUUUUUAUAGUGAAAAAGCUUGAAUAAUUUAAGGGGACGAGAAGACCCUAUUGAGCUUUAUUUAUUAAUAUUUAAAUAUAAAUAUAUAAUUUAUAUUAUGAAAAUUAUGUUGUAUAUAUAUAUAUAUAUAUAUAUUUAAUUGGAUUUAAUUUUGAUUGGGGUGAUCAAGGAAUAAAGAUAAAGUAACUUCCUUAAAAUUAAUGAUUGUUUUUAUAGAGUAAUAAACCAAGUUUUUUGCUUAUAAGAUAAGUUACCAUAGGGGUAACAGCGUAAUUUUUUUUGAGAGUUCAUAUUGAAAAAAGAGAUUGCGACCUCGAUGUUGGAUUAAAAAUUACCUUAAGG
rnacentral:rRNA from 1 species